rfam:Myotis lucifugus cont2.48495, whole genome shotgun sequence.
GCCAGGGUGGCUCAGUGGUUGAGCAUCGAGCUGUGAACCAGGAGGUCACCCACGGUUCAAUUCCUGGUCAGGGCA